UCUCUUCAAGGGAUUGGGGAGAUAAAUAAAUAAAUAAAUAAUAUUUUGUCUCUUCAUAGGAUAAGAUCUAGAUAUGCAGACCAGAGCUAUAAUAAUGCGUGAUAUUAUGGAAGUAGCAGGAUAUUAAGAGGCAGACAAAGAUGUAUGUCAGGAGGUGAAUAAAUAAAGACAGUGAACCAUUCCUUCUACUCUCAGAAGUAAACAAAGCUGGUCAUUAAAGAGGUACACUCCGCCUGAAAAAGAAAAAGUCUCAGAUGGGCAUGCGUACAACUUCCUAAACACACUGCGCAUGCUCAAUUCCCAAGGGUAAGAAGAUCACUGUGAGUGCAAAAGGCCCACCCUAAAGGAAGAAUCACUGAAAAGAGGUGAGUAUAUAAAGUCCCAGGAUCAAGGUUAAACGCCCUCCCUCUUCCCGUUCUUUUUCUCUCUCUUUGACCUUCA
rnacentral:lncRNA from 13 species